UUGAACGCUGGCGGCAGGCCUAACACAUGCAAGUCGAGCGGUAGAGAGGAGCUUGCUUCUCUUGAGAGCGGCGGACGGGUGAGUAAUGCCUAGGAAUCUGCCUAGUGGUGGGGGAUAACGUUCGGAAACGGACGCUAAUACCGCAUACGUCCUACGGGAGAAAGCGGGGGACCUUCGGGCCUCGCGCCAUUAGAUGAGCCUAGGUCGGAUUAGCUAGUUGGUGAGGUAACGGCUCACCAAGGCGACGAUCCGUAACUGGUCUGAGAGGAUGAUCAGUCACACUGGAACUGAGACACGGUCCAGACUCCUACGGGAGGCAGCAGUGGGGAAUAUUGGACAAUGGGCGAAAGCCUGAUCCAGCCAUGCCGCGUGUGUGAAGAAGGUCUUCGGAUUGUAAAGCACUUUAAGUUGGGAGGAAGGGCAGUAAGCGAAUACCUUGCUGCUUUGACGUUACCGACAGAAUAAGCACCGGCUAACUCUGU
rnacentral:rRNA from 1 species